rnacentral:lncRNA from 1 species
CAAAUGGACAUGCGCUACUGUGGCUGGGGUGGGAAGAGCAAGCCCCAUGUUAGCAUCUUUCACAGUCAGCUUAUUUGGAAUAAAUGGAAGAAAUCCUUUGCAAAGGUAUCUCAGUAACAAAGAAGACACAUACAUGUAAGUAAUGCAUAUUUUUUUUUGUCCCAAGUUUUCUGAAGAGUUGGAAUUCGCAUAUGUCUGGCUGCUGUGACCCUUCAAGUAUAAACUAAUGUUUCAGCUGUGAUCCAUGGUCGACAGAGGUCAUCCUUCUCUUCCUGUAGUGCUUGGAAGUGGUACAUCUCCACCUGUUUGUACUGAGUGUGUGUUAAAGAGAGUCUAGACAUAGUCUGAUGAAUUCGAGUGAUCCAAGCCAUUCAUCUUUAGAAACAGCAUAAAAUCUAGCCAGGAGGAUCAAUUAAUUACUUACGGUCACCCUUGCUCUGGAUCCUUCCUAGAAGAGUUGGUAUGUUCCUAGGAAACACCCCCUUGAUUUCUCUGAAAUGUUGGUCUCCUUUUCCUCACCACUAGUUCACGGUUUAGGCCGUUUUGUACUUGUGUCUGUGGAGCAGAGAUAUUGACCAGGAAUGUAGGCGCUGCCGCUCGACCAUGAGUGUGGCCUUGGAGGGCCCCGGAGAAUGGCAUGGGUAGUUUGACAUGGAAAUGUGCGCUGGAUUUAUCCUCUCUAUUCAUUCCCACCUCUCAGGUUCAACUGCUUUCAUCAAUUGCCUUCAUUCGAACUACACCAUAAGUUUACCAACUCACGUCAAUGUCAAGUGUUGUGACUUGCAAUCUGAGCCAUGAUGUUUGACUGUGCCUUGAACCUCAGGAUGAAACCAAUACGUCAUUGGUUGCAGGCAGUCAGCCUUCACUGUACUUGACCAGCGUAUUAUGUAGACUUUGAAUUAAGAGUGUCAUUUGAAUUUGAUUACUGUUUUAGACAGAUAUGUGCUACCUACAAGAUUGUGUUUGGGCAUCCUCCUAAGGCAAGCGAUGGAGAUAUUUAUGGCACCCUUUAGGGCCAACGAAGACAUGUCCCCGCAUUUUCCCUAAUUAUGCUUUGAAAAUUUUUGAUUUCACAUGAACCACUUGGAGGAAAAAAAAUCUGCGUCCCAUCAAAGUAGUUUAUCUCGUGCCUCAGUUGAUUCUUGAAAUCUGCUCUUGGGUUUGUCUGUCUGUCUAUCUGUAUUUGUAGAAACAAAACCAAAACCAAAACAAACAAACAAACAAAAAAGCCAAAAAAAUAACCCCAGGCCCCCCAAAUUUGAUGGUUGCCUACCAUUUAGGACCCUGUCCUGCAUUCUCUCCACGUGGCUCUCCCAUGGGAUUCCCUGGAAUGUUUGUUUGAGGAAACAGGAAAAGCUCAGGCCCGUAAUGGACCCGUGAUCAGGACAGCACCUCAUCUCUCAAUGCACAGUUCCAGUUGGCUGUCCCUCCACCAGGGUAGUCUGUGGCCCUUAGCUUUUUGGGGGUUGUUUUGUCAUCGUCGUUGUUGUUGUUCUUGCUGUUGUCGGUGCAUAAUUGAGCUCAUGAUGACUGAGAGAUUGACAGUGCAGGAGACUGAAGUCCUCUGUAUAUCCGCAGGGCAGGCAUGGUACAGAGCGCUUCCUUGCACAGCCUUGCCCAUGAGCUCGUCCCUGGCCCGGAGGGACCCACUCUAGAGGUGGUAAGUAAUUCAGUCUUUCUGCUAGCUCAGCCCUGGGCCUCUCCUGAACAGGGGCGGAUGAAUGUGCCUACUGGUUAUGGCGGUGUGGGGUCUGGACUCCUGGCCCCCUGGCAAUAUACAGAAAGCCGCUGACUGUUUGCAUUGUGACUUGGCUCCUGGAGAAGUGGACCAAAACCACUAGUUCAACUCUGUCGGCUACGAAGAAUACCCCUCAAUGGAUAGGACAGAGACCAUAGGCGUUACUUAACAUACAGACCCUCCCUCCAUAAGGACUUUUAAGGAAUUGUCAUCCCUAAGGAUAAUUUCCUUGGCCUGUUGCAGAAAUAGAAACCUGUGGUUGGAUUUAAAUUCAUGGAAUGAUUUGGGUGACAGCAUGAAAGUGGUAGCUGGUGAGAAAAAAAGUGGUCCAGUAAUAGGCAAUAUAACCAGAUUGGUCUUUCAAUGAACCCCUUCAGCUAUACCUGCUUUAAAACCAAAACAAGAUAUAGCCAGAGUAGGUGGCAUUUGAGUGCCUUUCUAACUAUGCACAUCAGCCAGAAAAUUCUUAGGGAUUAAGCAUAAUGUAAAUGUAGAAAGAUUUAAAGCUUCCUUUAUGAAGUUCAAAUAUUAAAUCGAUAGAAAGAUUUAGAUCAGAAACCAUCUCAGUUUUUUGGUUGAUGUUGACUUUCAUGAUUUGGGGGCCCAAUGACAAAUUGAGGGGAAUAACUCCUGAAUAGACAGGUGACACACAACUUUGCACAUGCCAAGGAGAACUUAAAUUGUCCGAGCUGCAUGUCCGUGAAAGGCUUCUGUGCCACUGAAACACGAAGAUUGUUUUCGUCACCCAGCUCAGCAGACAGUCCAUCAUAUUUCUGAUCUUAGCUCCUCUACAGCCCCCAGAACUUGUGAGGAGGAAGAAAAUCAAUCAGUUCUUUCUCAAAUAACCGUCACCCAAAUGACUUCUUCUUUAAGCAUCUCUCAAAUUUUUCUUGAAAACAAAACUGUCCUAACUUGCCAAUAAGUUUUCUUAAGAUGUUAAAUUCCAGCUCCUCAUAAAUCAUCUUGACAUCUGCUCUUCAAAAAGCUUCUCUAUCAGGGAAGUGUGUGGAUUCAUUUCUGGGCUGUCUUGAGACUUCCACUUUUAGUCAGGGUUCCGGAAACCCUGGUCAGGGCUUGACUACGUGAUCAUCAACAGCUGAAGUCACCUUACAUUAGCCAUUUCAAUCUGGGUUUCCUACCUGUCCUCACAGAGAGAUUGUUCCACUUACAAAUUAACAUGUACAGCUGUGGAAUAUAUUAUUGGACCAGAACGUCAGCACACUGGGACACCAGUCAGAGAUGCAAGAAACUAUAAACUGAACCUGAGUGGUGGUGACACUUGAUAAUAUUUUAGGCCACCUCGUUAUCUGGAAAGUACAAGUAUCACUUCUUUUUUUUUUUUUUUUUUUUUUUUUAAAAAAAAAGGGAUUUGGGUGAGUUAGGCCAGAAAUUCCCGGGAAAGGAAAUCUGAUUGUUAACUCCAGCGAAAUCCCCAAGCAUGGUCUUCAGAGAACUCAAAUCCUACGGAGUUCCUAGGAUAACAAGUUCAGUGUUUGUCAUUGGCUUUACUUGGCAGGUGGGGGAAGGCACAGACGGGGGGCUUCAAGUACAAAGUCCUCAUGACCGUGGGUCAAGGCACCUUUAUGUUCGUGAUGUUCUUCAAUUGGUGACAGGCAGUGUUGCUGCUGGGUUUGGGUGUGUGAACACAAAAGGGAGUUUUUAUUUGUGGGACAGGGUCAUACUCGAGAAAUUUUACACGGAGGUGUAGAAUUUCAGUUUAAUUUUCAUGGCUGAUGACAUAGCACCUGUUUCUGGUUGGACACUUUCAAGCUGGCUUUUGGUUUGAUGAUUCACAAGUUUGUUCUGCUCUCCUGCUGUAGUAGUACCUCGCGGAUGUCUUUUUCUUGGACUCAAUGGCUCUUUGCCAAGUACAACUGUUCCUUUGCUCCUGACUUCUUAAUCUAAUUCUUCAUGGGCAGUUCUGCAUUCACUAAAAUGUUACAAGAAGACAAAUGGGGAGAUGAAAAAGUGAAAAAUGCAGCAGAUAGUAAUCGUAGCUAUUUCCAGCUACUGGAGAGUUUAGCGUCAUAGAAGCAUCAUCUUAGGGAACAUAUCAGCCAGCUACCGUAACACAGACCCAAAAGACACCUGGUCUGCACCUGGGUUGAUUCCAGAGUCAACAGACCAUUGUUACUUCCUCCUUUUCUCAUCUUUAUUUAUAUCUUUUAUUCUUCUUGUUCAAUAUCACUGAUUGACAGUGUCAUGUUAGUUUCAGGUACACAGCACAGUGAUUCAGAUAAUAUAUCAUCUCUUUCCGAUUCUUUCCCUUUGUAGAUUAUUACAAAAUACUGAGUAUUUUUCCCUAGCGUAUACAGUAGGUCUUUGUUGUGUAUAUGUUAAUCCCAACCUCCUAAUUUAUAUUCCUAAAUUAUAUUCUUUAUUCCUCUUGUUUAAGUCUCUUCUGCUUGCUUGCUUCCACAUUUGGGUGUUCCCAAACAGAAACUUCCAAACCUGCAAAAAUUACCACUUACUCAGUAAGCAGUCAGGAAAAUGUGUCAGUUUAAUCCAACAGAAUGUCUGUUUUCCCUAAUAAAUAACAAAAUACACUUCUGAACCUUGUGAACUUUUCAAUUUUAACCCAAAUAACCAUUAAAAGUGAAUUUAGUACAUUUGCAAAUGUGUGAUUGCAGCAGGCUAAUACCUAAAAUAUGAAAUUAAAGUACUCUAAUAUUUAUAAAGAGGUUUUAGAUCUCAAAAGUAAAAAUAUUUUAGUAUGAAUCAGAAUGUUUCUUUGAAAACUAAUUAUUUGUAUCUUUAAAGAAAGAAAAAAGUAUUUAUUGCAAUCACUUAAAGUGGACUAGGUUAAUGCAUUCACUUCUUACCCCUAGAGGCUUGGCUUUGAAUUUGACUUAGAGAAAAUUAGUUUCGAGGCCUCGGCCUCCUCUCAGGUAUUUGUUGAUGUCCCAAAACCAAGCCAACAAUUUGUCACAAUUGUGGUCAUUUACUCAGGAGGUCCAAGAACUAGAAUCGCCUUCUUUCCUCAUUUUCUUUUCCCUUCCCUGAGGCCAUUCCUUUCGGUUGUAGGCUCUUAGCAACCCCAAACUUGGGGCUCACCCACAUCAUUUUCACAGUCCAGGAAAACUCAAGAACCAUUCUUGGCAAAGCUAAUGGAAGGUGCUUUAGUUAUAUAGUUAAUAGGUUGCUGUGACAACCCUUGUGACUCAUGGUGUGACUCACGGCAAUUAUAAUUUCAGUUGCUGGCUGGUUGUUUCAUUAGGACAGACCUGAGAAGAAGCCACACUGAAGUUCUUUCGGUAGGUUUCAUCCAGCUCCUGUCUGCCCACUGACAAACAGUCACAAACUAGGGCUCACAAAGUUGCCAGAAGAUUUGUUUCUUAGCUUGCUGUGAGGCCAGCGGCCAUCCCAGACAUUAAGCUUGCUGACGAUAAGACAUGACCAAAAUACAAGUGCUGGCUAAGAAGCAGGGCUAGUCAAUGGACAAUUGUUUACUGAGAACCCACUUUGUGCCAACAGGUUCUUUGCCCUCAAGAAGUGUACAGACCAGGUUCAAGGUUGGGACUAUGGGAGAAUGGGGACCUGUAGUCACAGUAAACAAUCUGAAAAUGCAGAUGCUAAGUAUACCCUUUGCAGAAGAUUUGGCUCAUAACUGGAAAGCAGACUAAGGCAGAAGUGUGGGAGAGGAGAAGAGUAUGAAAGAGACCCACAGGAUUCGGACACUGUGAUCCAAGCACACAGGAACAAGGGGAAAGGGAAGUGUUUAGCCCUGGGCGCCGAAAACCACCUCUGCUCCUCCUCUCCGCCUGUUCUCACCAAGUGGAACGCCUAUGCCAUUCCUUCAAGAUCCGUCAGUCCGAGGACAUAAAAAUCCCCCAUACUGUCUGGAGACAUUUGCCUUGUUUAGACUCAGCCUGUGUGUCGAGAGCCAAACCCUCUGAACUUAACAGGAUUUCUCUGUCUCGUCUUAUUAAGGUAUAAAUGUAUCAUGCUUGGCCCUGCCCGUCAGUCCUUCCAAGGCAGAAGAUUUGCAUGGUCUUAAAACCCACAGUUUAUGGUGGGGAUCUGUGAAUUCCAUUAAAAAAUCUGAAUCUUUAGCUAAGUGUUUCCGUCUGAGCAUCCAGUUGGUUCAAGUUCUCUGUUCGUAGUCCUCAGAUUCAUGAAUUGAAUUUGGACAAAAAGCACUUGUGUUUCCAUUUCAUUCAGAGGUUCCAAAGGGUAUAGUGAGAUGUUGAAUGGCUCUUUAAAAAUCCAUGACCACUACUGGAAAACAAAAAUGCCUAGCCUACCAGGUACUGGUGUGUACUUAGAUUUAUUAGAUAUUUCAUAACACUCUUGUACAGGAUUGGGUUGAUCUUUAAAGAAGGGGGAGAUGUCUUACAGAAUUUGUCAUUACUUUUAGUUCAAUAAUGAUAUUAAUAAUGGUGAUAGGAAUGGCUGGGGUGCCAUUGUUGUUGUACCAGCAGCAGGAGUGGAAACUACCACCUACUGAACAAUUUUAAUAUUCCAGGUGUUAUGUUUAGCACUUUUCCUGCAUUAGCUCAUUUAAUCUUCUCAUUGGCCCCAUGAGCUUUGUCCCACUUGCACCCCUGGUUUUGAUGAGAAAACUUGCCUGAGAGAGCAGUAAAGCAGAGAAGUGAGAGAACUUGCAAACUCAUCCAGCUGGAAAUGGGCAGAGCCAGGAUUCCUAAUAGAGCAGCUCGACUCGUUGCAUGCACAUAAGUACCACGCUCUUCUCGCCAGUAUUGGCAUUGAGUAACAGUUGCAGAGCACUCACUGCGUGCUAGAUGCUUUUCUAAGCACUUUGCAACUGUUAAUUUAUUUAAUCUUUACCACAAUCUUUUGAGGUAGAUAUUGCUACUCUCCCCACUCUACAGAUGAAAACUGAGGCCCAGGAUUCUGCAACUAGCUAGUAUAUGGUUGAGUCAGGAUUUAAAGCCAACUCAUAGAGCCUACAUGCUCCUAACAAGAAAGAACUUCAUUCCUUAGAGUGGUCCUUCCACUCUAAAAUAUAGGAAGAAAGCCAAGUGCAAUAGUCAUUCCUAUAAUUGACUCAGUGAGGUUUUCUUUUACCUUGAAAUUUUACCUAUAAAGCCUUCUAAGCUUGGUGAACCAACUGAUUACAAGAAAGGGGUAUGAAGGAGUUCCCGGUGUGGCUCAGCAGGUUAAGAACCCAACUAGAAUCCAUGAGGAUGCAGGUUUGACCCCUGGCCUUGCUCAGCGAGCUAAGGAUCCAGCAUUGCCAAAAGCUGUGGUGUAGGUCACAGAUACAGCUUAGAUCCAGCGUUGCUUUGGCUGUGGCAUAGGCCUGCUGCUGAAGUUCUGAUUCAGCCCCUAGCCUAAGAACUUCCAUAUGCCGCAAGUGUGGCCCUGUAAAGAAAAAAAAAAAAAAAAAA